AACGCACCUUGCGCUCCCCGGUAUUCCGAGGAGCAUGCCCGUUUGAGAGUCAUGAAAAACCCUCAACCCCCUCAUCGCCUCUGGUGUCGGGUUGGACUUGGACGCCUGCUGCGACGUUUUUCGUCUUCGUGGCUCGUCUCAAAAGCAUUAGUCGACUCUGUCGGACUCGCCUUUGACGUGAUAGACAUCGCCGUUGAGGUUGGGACCCGACUUUGUUGGAGCGGCUUACAACCGUCUUUGGACAGCGUGUGACCUUUUUGACCUCAAAUCGGGUAGGACUACCCGCUGAACUUAA
rnacentral:misc_RNA from 1 species